UUUUCUGUGUAGCCUUGAGGAAGUAGC
rnacentral:piRNA from 1 species